GACGAACGCUGGCGGCGUGCUUAACACAUGCAAGUCGAACGGAAAGGCCCUGCUUUUGUGGGGUGCUCGAGUGGCGAACGGGUGAGUAACACGUGAGUAACCUGCCCUUGACUUUGGGAUAACUUCAGGAAACUGGGGCUAAUACCGGAUAGGAGCUCCUGCUGCAUGGUGGGGGUUGGAAAGUUUCGGCGGUUGGGGAUGGACUCGCGGCUUACCAGCUUGUUGGUGGGGUAGUGGCUUACCAAGGCUUUGACGGGUAGCCGGCCUGAGAGGGUGACCGGCCACAUUGGGACUGAGAUACGGCCCAGCCUCCUACGGGAGGCAGCAGUGGGGAAUAUUGCACAAUGGGUGGAAGCCUGAUGCAGCAACGCCGCGUGCGGGAUGACGGCCUUCGGGUUGUAAACCGCUUUCGCCUGUGACGAAGCGUGAGUGACGGUAAUGGGUAAAGAAGCACCGGCUAACUACGUG
rnacentral:rRNA from 1 species